rnacentral:rRNA from 1 species
CCUACGGGAGGCUGCAGUGGGGAAUAUUGGGCAAUGGGCGCAAGCCUGACCCAGCAACGCCGCGUGAAGGAAGAAGGCUUUCGGGUUGUAAACUUCUUUUCUGAGGGACGAAGAAAGUGACGGUACCUCAGGAAUAAGUCACGGCUAACUACGUGCCAGCAGCCGCGGUAAUACGUAGGUGGCAAGCGUUAACCGGAUUUAUUGGGUGUAAAGGGCGUGUAGGCGGGAAGGCAAGUCAGCGGUGAAAACUCAGGGCUCAACCCUGAGCCUGCAUUUGAAACUGUUUUUCUUGAGUGCUGGAGAGGCAAUCGGAAUUCCAGGUGUAGGGGUGAAAUGCGUAGAUAUACGGAGGAACACCAGUGGCGAAGGCGGAUUGCUGGACAGUAACUGACGCUGAGGAGCGAAAGCGUGGGGAGCAAACAGGAUUAGAUACCCGAGUAGUC